rnacentral:rRNA from 1 species
AGCGAACGUUAGCGGCGGGCUUAACACAUGCAAGUCGAGCGAGAGAGUGACUUCGGUCAUGAGUAAAGCGGCAGACGGGUGAGGAACACGUAGGUAAUUUUCCGUUUAGUGGGGGACAACGGUCCGAAAGGACCGCUAAUACCGCAUACGUUCUUGGGACUUUGGUCUUGGGAAGGAAAGCUGGGCAACUGGCGCUAAAAUGAGAAGCCUGCGUCGCAUCAGCUAGUUGGUGGGGUAAUGGCCUACCAAGGCGAAGACGCGUAGCUGGUCUGAGAGGAUGAUCAGCCACACUGGAACUGAGACACGGUCCAGACUCCUACGGGAGGCAGCAGUGGGGAAUAUUGGACAAUGGGCGCAAGCCUGAUCCAGCCACGCCGCGUGAGUGAUGAAGGCCUUCGGGUCGUAAAGCUCUGUGGGGAGAGACGAACCGCUGGGUAACCCGUUCAGCAUGACGGUAUCUCCUUAGCAAGCACCGGCUAACUUCGUGCCAGCAGCCGCGGUAAU